rnacentral:lncRNA from 1 species
GUGUGUGUGUGUGUGUGUGUGUGUGUGUGUUUGUCAGUAUGUGCGUGUAGUGUGUGUGUAGUGUAUGUUUGUCAGUGUGUGUGUGUGUAGUGUGUGUUUGUCAGUGUGUGUGUGUGUAUGUGUGUGUGUGUGUGUAGUGUGUUUGUCAGUGUGUGUAGUGUGUUUGUCAGUGUGUGUGUAGUGUGUGCUUGUCAGUGUGUGUGUGUAGUGUGUGUUUGUCAGUGUGUGUGUGUAGUGUGUGUUUGUCAGUGUGUGUCUGCAGUGUGUGUGUGUAGUGUGUGUUUGUCAGUGUGUGUUUGUCAGUGUGUGUGUGUAGUGUGUGUUUGUCAGUGUGAGUGUGUAGUGUGUGUUUGUCAGUGUGUGUGUGUGUAGUCUGUGUGUGCAGUGUGUGUUUGUCAGUGUGUGUGUGCAGUGUGUGUUUGUCAGUCUGUGUGUGCGUGUAGUGUAUGUUUGUCAGUGUGUGUGUGUGUGUGUGUGUGUGUGUGUGUGUGUGUGUGUGUGUGUGUGUGUGUGUGUGUGUGUGUGUGUUUGUCAGUGUGUGCGUGUAGUGUGUGUGUAGUGUAUGUUUGUCAGUGUGUGUGUGUGUGUGUAGUGUGUGUUUGUCAGUGUGUGUGUGUGUAGUGUGUGUUUGUCAGUGUGUGUGUGUGUGUGUGUAGUGUAUGUUUGUCAGUGUGUGUGUGUGUGUGUAGUGUAUGUUUGUCAGUGUGUGUGUGUGUGUGUGUGUGUGUGUGUGUGUGUGUGUGUGUGUGUGUGUGUGUGUGUGUGUGUGUGUGUGUGUGUGUAGUGUGUGUGUAGUGUAUGUUUGUCAGUGUGUGUGUGUGUGUAGUGUGUGUUUGUCAGUGUGUGUGUGCAGUGUGUGUCUGCAGUGUGUGUUUGUCCGUGUGCGGUGUGUGUGUGUGUUUGUCAGAAUGUGUAUGUAGUGUGUGUUUGUCAGUGUGUGUGUGUGUGUGUUUGUCAGUGUGUGUGUGUGUAGUGUGUGUUUGUCAGUGUGUGUGUGUGUGUGUGUGUGUGUGUGUGUGUGUUGUGUGUUGGUCAGUGUGUGUGUGUGUAGUGUGUGUUUGUCAGUGUGUGUUUGUCAGUGUGUGUGUGUGUGUGUGUGUAGUGUGUGUUUGUCAGUGUGUGUGUGUAGUGUGUGUUUGUCAGUGUGUGUUUGUCAGUGUGUGUGUGUGUGUGUGUGUGUGUGUGUGUGUGUGUGUAGUGUGUGUUUGUCAGUGUGUGUUUGUCAGUGUGUGUGUGUGUGUGUGUGUGUGUGUGUGUGUGUGUGUGUGUGUGUGUGUGUGUGUGUGUGUGCAGUGUGUGUUUGUCAGUGUGUGUAUGUAAUGUGUGUUUGUCAGUGUGUGUGUGUUUGUAGAGAAAGAGGAAGUGUCUACUAGAACCACCACAGAGAGAACAGACUGAGGACAGACCUUAUUGAAGGUACU